rnacentral:ncRNA from 1 species
UCCCUGGUUGAUCUGCCAGUAGUCAUAUGCUUGUCUCAAAGAUUAAGCCAUGCAUGUCUCAGUGCAAGCCGCAUUAAGGUGAAACCGCGAAAGGCUCAUUAAAUCAGUUGUGGUUCCUUAGAUCGUACCCAAGUUACUUGGAUAACUGUGGUAAUUCUAGAGCUAAUACAUGCCGACAGAGUUCCGACCGUCGCGGCGCCCUCGGGCGUCGCUCGCGGGAGGAACGCUUUUAUUAGAUCAAAACCGGCCCGUCGCGGCGCGCUUCGUGCGCGUCCCGAUCGCGGCCCGCGCAAAGACCUGGUGACUCUGAAUAACUUCGAGCUGAUCGCACGGUCUCCGUACCGGCGACGCAUCUUUCAAAUGUCUGCCUUAUCAACUGUCGAUGGUAGGUUCCAUGCCUACCAUGGUGGUAACGGGUAACGGGGAAUCAGGGUUCGAUUCCGGAGAGGGAGCCUGAGAAACGGCUACCACAUCCAAGGAAGGCAGCAGGCGCGCAAAUUACCCACUCCCGGAACGGGGAGGUAGUGACGAAAAAUAACGAUACGGGACUCAUCCGAGGCCCCGUAAUCGGAAUGAGAACACUUUAAAACCUUUAAACGAGGAUCAAUUGGAGGGCAAGUCUG